rnacentral:lncRNA from 12 species
CAAAGGGCCUUGCAGCUGGGCUUAGGUGACAGACCCAUCCAAUCCAGCCCUGGCCUCUGAGACUACAUCCGGAGGCAGACCAUUAACUGAACCAAGUGCUCAGAAGCCUGGACAUUCAGCAGAUGUGACACCAAGGGACGAAGCCUUGGAAUGGGAAGGAGAUCCUCAUGUAAACAGACCCUUACUAGCUGGUGUGAAGAGUGAGCUAAGCUCAGAUACUUGCUCAAUUCAUGGUGGCUGCUCUUUUUCAUAGCACAGAAAGUCAAUUUUUGGAAAAGGACACCACCACCACCACCCGAAAGCACAUCUUCAAAGAGAAUUCUGAUGGUAAGCUCCAUGAGGACAAGACAAAAUGGCCAGCGGCUCCAAGGCAGUCUUCCUAGCAUGACAGCAAUCCCAGCAUGAGAGCGGGGUGCAUCUCUGUUGAGUGGAUGUGUGUGGCCUUGAAGGUAUGUCUUCAUCCCGAGAGUGGAUUGUGAAGGUGGGAAGGACAGUUGC